CCUACGGGUGGCUGCAGUGAGGAAUAUUGGUCAAUGGGCGGGAGCCUGAACCAGCCAAGUCGCGUGAGGGACGACGGUCCUAUGGAUUGUAAACCUCUUUUGUCGGGGAACAAAGGCGCCCACGGGUGGGCGGAUGAGUGUACCCGAAGAAAAAGCAUCGGCUAACUCCGUGCCAGCAGCCGCGGUAAUACGGAGGAUGCGAGCGUUAUCCGGAUUUAUUGGGUUUAAAGGGUGCGUAGGCGGACAGUCAAGUCAGCGGUAAAAAUGCGGUGCUAAACGCCGUACAGCCGUUGAAACUGGCAAACUGGAGUGUGUGAGAGGAUAGUGGAAUUCCAGGUGUAGGAGUGAAAUCCGUAGAUAUCUGGAGGAACAUCAGUGGCGAAGGCGACUAUCUGGCACAUAACUGACGCUGAGGAGCGAAAGCGUGGGUAGCAAACAGGAUUAGAUACCCCAGUAGUC
rnacentral:rRNA from 1 species